rnacentral:rRNA from 1 species
CAGUGGACGAGAUAUCCUUCGGGAUAUCUUAGUGGCGAACGGGUGAGUAACGCGUGGGUAACCUACCCUUUUAUCGGGGAUAACUUGCCGAAAGGUGAGCUAAUACCGGAUGUGCUAUUUCGAUCACAUGACCGAAAUAACAAAGGUGGCCUCUAUUUAUAAGCUACCGUAAGAGGAUGGACCCGCGUCUGAUUAGCUAGUUGGUGGGGUAACGGCCUACCCAAGGCGACGAUCCAGUAGCCGGCCUGAGAGGGUGAACGGCCACACUGGGACUGAGACCACGGCCCCAGACUCCUACGGGAGGCAGCCAGUGGGGAAUCUUCCGCCAAUGGGACGAAAGUCUGACGGAGCAACGCCGCGUGAGUGACGAAGGUUUUCGGAUUGUAAAACUCUGUCUUUUGGGACGAACGGUUCAUAUGUAAAUAAUGUAUGAAAUUGACGGUACCGAAGGAGGAAGCCCGGCUAA